UGCAGUCGAGCGAUGAUUAAAGAUAGCUUGCUAUUUUUAUGAAGAGCGGCGAACGGGUGAGUAACGCGUGGGAAAUCUGCCGAGUAGCGGGGGACAACGUUUGGAAACGAACGCUAAUACCGCAUAACAAUGAGAAUCGCAUGAUUCUUAUUUAAAAGAAGCAAUUGCUUCACUACUUGAUGAUCCCGCGUUGUAUUAGCUAGUUGGUAGUGUAAAGGACUACCAAGGCGAUGAUACAUAGCCGACCUGAGAGGGUGAUCGGCCACACUGGGACUGAGACACGGCCCAGACUCCUACGGGAGGCAGCAGUAGGGAAUCUUCGGCAAUGGGGGCAACCCUGACCGAGCAACGCCGCGUGAGUGAAGAAGGUUUUCGGAUCGUAAAACUCUGUUGUUAGAGAAGAACGUUAAGUAGAGUGGAAAAUUACUUAAGUGACGGUAUCUAACCAGAAAGGGACGGCUAACUACGUGCCAGCAGCCGCGGUAAUACGUAGGUCCCAAGCGUUGUCCGGAUUUAUUGGGCGUAAAGCGAGCGCAGGUGGUUUCUUAAGUCUGAUGUAAAAGGCAGUGGCUCAACCAUUGUGUGCAUUGGAAACUGGGAGACUUGAGUGCAGGAGAGGAGAGUGGAAUUCCAUGUGUAGCGGUGAAAUGCGUAGAUAUAUGGAGGAACACCGGANGCGAAAGCGGCUCUCUGGCCUGUAACUGACACUGAGGCUCGAAAGCGUGGGGAGCAAA
rnacentral:rRNA from 1 species